rnacentral:rRNA from 1 species
GCAGUUAAAAAGCUCGUAAUUGAAUUUUGGGUCUGGCCGGGCGGUCCACCUUCUGGUGAGCACUGUUCCGACGUCGGACCUAUCCUUCUGGUGAGACGGCAUGCCCUUCGCUGGGUGUGUCGGGGAACCAGGACUAUUACCUUGAAAAAAUUAGAGUGUUCAAAGCAGGCAUUUGCUCGAAUACAUUAGCAUGGAAUAAUGAAAUAGGACGCGUGGUACUAUUUUGUUGGUUUCUAGGACCACCGUAAUGAUUAAUAGGGAUAGUUGGGGGCAUUAGUAUUCAAUUGUCAGAGGUGAAAUUCUUGGAUUUAUUGAAGACUAACUUCUGCGAAAGCAUUUGCCAAGGAUGUUUUCAUUAAUCAAGAACGAAAGUUAGGGGAUCGAAGACGAUCAGAUACCGUCGUAGUCUUAACCAUAAACUAUGCCGACUAGGAAUCGGGCGAUGUUAUUUUAAUGACUCGCCCGGCGCCUUAUGGGAAACCAAAGUUUUUGGGUUCCGGGGGGAGUAUGGUCGCAAGGCUGAAACUUNNNNNNNNNNNNNNNNNNNNNNNNNNNGGGGUGGAGCCUGCGGCUUAAUUUGACUCAACACGGGGAAACUCACCAGGUCCAGACAUARURAGGAUUGACAGAUUGAGAGCUCUUUCUUGAUUCUAUGGGUGGUGGUGCAUGGCCGUUCUUAGUUGGUGGAGUGAUUUGUCUGGUUAAUUCCGAUAACGAACGAGACCUUAACCUGCUAAAUAGCUAGGCUGCUCUUCGAGUGGUCGUCAG